AGUGAACGCUGGCGGUAGGCCUAACACAUGCAAGUCGAACGGCAGCACAGUAAGAGCUUGCUCUUACGGGUGGCGAGUGGCGGACGGGUGAGGAAUACAUCGGAAUCUACUUUUUCGUGGGGGAUCACGUAGGGAAACUUACGCUAAUACCGCAUACGACCUACGGGUGAAAGCAGGGGAUCUUCGGACCUUGCGCGAUUGAAUGAGCAGAUGUCGGAUUAGCUAGUUGGCGGGGUAAAGGCCCACCAAGGCGACGAUCCGUAGCUGGUCUGAGAGGAUGAUCAGCCACACUGGAACUGAGACACGGUCCAGACUCCUACGGGAGGCAGCAGUGGGGAAUAUUGGACAAAGGGCGCAAGCCUGAUCCAGCCAUACCGCGUGGGUGAAGAAGGCCUUCGGGUUGUAAAGCCCUUUUGUUGGGAAAGAAAAGCAGCAGGUUAAUACCCCGCUGUUCUGACGGUACCCAAAGAACAAGCACCGGCUAACUUCGUG
rnacentral:rRNA from 1 species